rnacentral:rRNA from 1 species
UACGGAGGUGGCAAGCGUUGCUCGGAAUCACUGGGCGUAAAGGGCGCGUAGGCGGGGAGGUAAGUCGGGUGUGAAAUCCCUCGGCCCAACUGAGGAACUGCGCUCGAGACUGCUUCUCUUGAGUCCCGGAGAGGAAGAUGGAAUUCCCGGUGUAGCGGUGAAAUGUGUAGAGAUCGGGAGGAACACCGGUGGCGAAGGCGGUCUUCUGGACGGUGACUGACGCUGAGGCGCGAAAGCGUGGGGAGCAAACAGG